ensembl:lncRNA
CAGAGGUGAAAAUGAAAAUAAUUAUAUUACACAAACUUGGCUGGACUUGUAUUUAUCAUUGAGGGUUAUAAAAGUGCAGAGGAGUGCGAUCUAUAAACAAUCACAGCUUUUUGCAAAGCAAGAAAAAAAAAGCACACACAACUAAGAGUAAAAUAUGCAUAAUGUAUACUUGUCAAAGAUCAGUUCAUUUAAAACAAUCCCUGAUAUGUUAAAAAGAAGGAUGAUUUAAAAUGUUUUAUUACACUUAUUUUUCUAUCAAAUGCCCUUUAAUUUAAUACACCGUCGAGCACUUAUUCUGCCCAUAUAAUGUAUUUCCUGUGAGAGAAGUUAAGUGGCAGUAAGAGUGCCAGGGAUAGUCAUAACCAUAUGUCUGCUAAAGCUCAUUAUAGUAUAGAGUAAGUGGUUGCAAUAGGUGCUAGAUAUAAACUAAUCAUUCUCCUCAUGUCAAUACAAGUAAUAUAAUUUAUUUUUCUACAUUACUGGAAUAUUACAUUUUCAUUUUGAAGUCAUUGAUCUUUUUCGUUGAAGUUGAAAUAUGUUAAUCCAGGCUACAUAUCAUAUGUAAAUAAACACCAUAAAUCAUACCUAACCAGAAAAAUGUAUUAUGCUCUCUGUAUAUAACAUGCAAAUCCAUGAGGCAUUGCUGCUACUCUGUUCUUAAUGUGCAGUAGACUGACAAUAAUGUAAUACAGCCAUUAUUGUUUUUAUUGUUUUGUCAUUUAGCGUUGGGCUAUCAGGGAUUAGGGAAAUAUAAGAUAUAUCUAUAACAGAUCUCAUAUUUAUAUUGGGUUUUUUUUCCAAACAACAGUGUCAUAAAUGGACUUCUCUAGCACACUCAUCUGUGUCACAAUCACUGAUGACUAUGAUGCUGAUUUUCAACCAGAAUACAAUGGAGUGUUAGAAUAGUCAUAUGUUUUUGCUGUUUUGGCUCUGAACUUGAUUUGAAAUGAAACAGUGACUAUAAAAGUACUUUGAGGGUGUUUACAUCCAUUUUUCCAUUUCAGAAGAACAGUGUAUAAAUCCCCUUUAGCAGAUGCAGGAAAAUGCAGCAGGACAGUAGUUCUAAACCCACACAACAACAACAAAAAGCUUUUCAUCAAAGAAUUUUAUGUUCUUGACUUAUCAUUUGUCCCAAGCAAAACUGAGGAUUUUAUCCCCAAGAAUAUACAGUCCGAAGAUCACAAGAAACUGCUCCAGUAGGUCUUGGGUCAUGGUAGUCUCAGGUCCCACUCACACGGCCUAGAAACGUGUGACUGUGUGACUGGGACCUGGGGCAGUGACCAUCUGGUAACUACUGGGACUUGAGUUGAUAGUGUGGCUUCUUUUCGGGUAAAUUUUAGGAUAAAACCUAUCAAGCCGCUAUGUCUAAUGGAUUAAAAGCCUGACAAAAAGGGUGACACAGAUUAAAAAUUAUACAUUCAAACAUACGAUCCCACAACUCCUUAGCACAACCUUGCCAUUCUCAAACCAUCCCCUAUUUAAAUUUGGCUGAGUUUAUAGAUCAUCGUUUUGGCAGCACUGCGGAACUUGUUAAAACUCAAUGCCGCAUAAUCUGAGGGUACGACGCGACACUGGGCAUGGGAAAACACAGGGCUUAAAUACACAGGGUAGUAAUGAGGAAAUGGGCCACAGAAGGGAGACACAGCUGGGAGAGAUCAGGGCUAACGAGACAUGGGGAACAAAGCUGCACACACUAACAUAAGACAAAGUCUUUCACAAUAAAACAGGAAACAUGAAUCACAACUCAGAGACAUGGACUCAACACAGAGACAGAAAAUGAAACAUGGAACUGAACUAUACAUGAAACCACCAUUCCUAAAACAUGGAUAAUAGAAACAUGAAACUCUAAUAAUGAUAAUAAUAAUAAUAAUAAUAAUAAUAAUAAACAUCACAACAAGAGAAUGAGAAACAAUCCAAAACACCAAGAUAACUGAAACACAAAGUACCAGAGAAACAAAGAAUAAUCCAUGAUGCAAAAGUGAACCAAAACAUAAUAAACUCAAAAUACUGGGUCCAACGGACCCAGAACCGUGACAGAGCAUACCUAAGACGUCAACACUGUGUGUUUGAUUAAUGACAUUGAUUUGAUGUUGGCACAUUGUGAACUCACAGCAGGAUACAUUGCAAGUGGUCAGAUAGGAGAGUCAAAGGAGUGAUCUAAAACCAGUACUGGAACUAAGGAAAUGACCUUAAAGGUGGAAAAAUGUCAAAUUUAAAUCAGGUAUUGUAGCAUUUGAGUUGUAUGGGGUGAGAUUAGAAGGUUUAUGAUCGUACCUUAAAUUUCUGAUACUGUUCUUUUCAUGUGGACGUAAACACCCAGAAGAUAAAGCUGAAGAUCACAACUUCUUGUCAUAGUCUGGCUAAUCAAUGAAAGGCAGUCCAAGAUUAGCUGAGUACAAAGCCAGUUCACAGCGUACAUAGGUGAGAGAAUUUAUGUAUAAAUCUUUCUAUAUGUUUGCUUGGUGUGAACCAAACGUACAUGCAUACAUAUAGACAGAAAAACAGUUUUGUCUCUGGCUGAUUUAAAUUUUUUAGAGUAGGUAGCAUACUUAAGACUGAUUCACAUUUAACCCAUAAAUUGUGUGUUUUUAAUUGCUGGUACAAUUAUCAUCAAACUAAAACACAAGAGCAAACAUAGUUUAUGUGUAAUGUGAGGGUCCAGCUUUUAGUUUUUAGCAUAUCGUUUGUAAUUUUUUAAUAUGUUUAAUAUAUUUUAAUAUGUGCAAUAGUUUGGGUUUUGCUGUCCAUAUUCAGCUAUGCUGAAGUGACUUUAUGGAUUCUGUUUGCUUGACUCUACCCAUCAGUUUAAAAACAUCGUUUUUUUCUUACUUAGAGAUGAUUCAACAACAAGGUCAACUGUCAUGAAAACCUAAGAGCAUUUUCAAGCACAGAUUUUCACAAGCUGUGAUUCGAAACGUUGCUGAACGGACAAAGAGGGAGACAUAUACCAAGACACCUGGUGGCCUUCUAGAGUAGACUAAAGACGUUGUUGCACAAUUUACAAAAAAAUAUAAUGUAAUACAGAAACACAGUAUUUUAAAUGAAAGAAAGUUAAUUAACUUACACGUAGAUCACAGUCACAAAUAAGGUGUCUGUCAUUAUUCAAGCAUUUGUUGUUUUUGUAGAUUUGUCUGGUCAGUUUUCAUCUUCGAAGCACAAGAGGUGAUUUUCAGUUCAGUAGAAAUGUGAAUUUUUUGAUAAAGAAUGACUGCAAUCUUGUUUUCAGACAGACGUAUGUAAAGGAUGGGAGAAUGAAUUGAUUAUAUGUUUGUUGACUGAGAUCAUUUUGGAUUGCACCUAUUAUGGUUUGUGAUUUUCUUGCCUGUGUGAAGUGAAGCCUGUGUACAUGACUGCAGGUCUUUUUAUUUUCCUCCUGCCUUUAUAAGCCUGCUAAUCGCAAAGAAUAUCAUAAUAUUCUAAUACAACAUGGCAGACCCGGCAGAUACUGUACGAAACAAAAAGGGGCGUCGGUUUUGAUGUAUGUUGAUCUGACACACACACACACACACACACACACACACACACACACACACACACACACACACACACACACACACACAUACAGAAAAACAACAAAUGAAAAUAAAAAAAGAAAAAAUGGUUCAGAAGCAUUGUGAGCAUGUUGGUAUACAAAACUUAUAACAGAUUUGACUUAGUCUGUUCUUGUGAAAAAGAUUAUGUUAAAAACUGAUAUUUGACAGAAAAAAAAGAAAAAAUGAAAAAAGAUAAGCACAACUGUGUUGAUAGUGUCUGUUGUUCCUCCACCGGUGUAUAACAUUAUCAAAUAAAAACUAAACUGCAGUUUGACUGAGCUCUGGCAAAACAAAGCAACUCUCAUCAGGAGCACAUAGCUCAUGGAAUAAAACUUCACCACAAAUUCUCCUGAAAGGUUAAAUCCUGCUUUAGUAACCGUGGCAUUAUGAAAGUCUUUAUUAUAUAAAUUAUAGAUUUACUUUUCAGAGUUCAUCAGAUUGAAUUGUCAAACAAUCACUGCUGGUGAGAGUUGCUCUGUAUUCAAGGCGUUACUUAUGUCUGCCUUUAGAGACAGUACAGUUCAUCUGAGAGUCUUUAGAUACGAAGCAUAUAGUAAUUUUAAAAAUGUAUGAGUACAACCAAUAAACCAGACAUUCUGUA